rnacentral:lncRNA from 1 species
GCCCCUACAGUUUCUUUAAUCUCAAUGUGUUGUAAUAUAUAAAGAAGAUUUUAUAUUGAGAACCAUAAAAAACUUUUUAUUCUUUUUUUCUCUCUGCUAGCGGAAGGCACGAAUUCCAUCCACGGACGGACGCGCGUGCGGGCCGAGUCGGCACCGACGGGGGCGCAAAAAAAAUUUUGGCAGAUUGAUUUUUUUACAAUUUAGUAGUAGGGAUAGAAUUACAUCCAAAUCUAUGAGCAGUAAAUUUACUUGUGAUAAUAACCGGCGCGUCCGAUCUCCGGUCACACUAUAUUUGUUACUUGACCUAUGAACGAUAAGUUUGCUUGUGAUAAUAACUGGUGUGUUCGGUCUCUUAUCUACCUAUUUUUUUUUACUGAUAGUAUAAUUUUAUUAAGUAAAUAAUUCCAUCCAGUGAGCUGUAAAUUUGCUUGUGACAAUUGGUGUGUCUAAUAUCUGGUCAUACUAUUUUUUAUUACUAAUAGAAUUAUUUUGCUAUGUAAAUAAUUCCAUCCUCACACGUGAGUAGUGAAUUUGCUUUGUGAUAAUAAUUGUCGUGUCCGGUCUCCGAUUAGACUAUUUUUUAUUACUAAUAAUAUUAUUUUGUUAAAUAAAUAAUUCCAUCCAAACUUAUGAGCACUAACUUUACUUGUGAUAAUAAUUCCAUCUGUAAUUUUUUAUUCCUAAUAGAAUAAUUUUAUUAUUAAUAGUAUAAUUUUGUUAAGUAAAUAAUUUUAUCAGGACCUGUGAGCGAUAAAUUUAUGUUGUGAUAAUAAUCGGCGCGA